rnacentral:rRNA from 1 species
UACGGAGGGAGCUAGCGUUGUUCGGAAUUACUGGGCGUAAAGCGCGCGUAGGCGGUUACUCAAGUCAGAGGUGAAAGCCCGGGGCUCAACCCCGGAACUGCCUUUGAAACUAGGUAACUAGAAUCUUGGAGAGGUCAGUGGAAUUCCGAGUGUAGAGGUGAAAUUCGUAGAUAUUCGGAAGAACACCAGUGGCGAAGGCGGCUCACUGGACUGGUAUUGACGCUGAGGUGCGAAAGCGUGGGGAGCAAACAGG